CUCACUCCCGCCUCUCUCUCGCGAAUUAUCCAUGGCUUCUUUAACUUCCACUCUCGCCCUCGCCCUCGCCUCCUCUCCCGCUGCCCUCCGCCCUUCGUCCCUAGGGUUCCAUUCCCUCUCUUUAACCUACGGCAUUGGAUACCUCCGGCCCCGUCUGGGUGGCCGGACCCCCCCGCGGCCGCUCCCCAUCCGAGCCCAAACCCUAGAUUUCUCGGGCUCUUUCUUCGAGGAAGGGGGAGAUGAGGAGAGGGAUGGACCCUCCGGCCCCUCGGCUGCCGCCGCUGCCAUGGCGCUGGAAGACAAGGAGGAACCGCAGUGCCCGCCGGGCCUUCGCCAGUACGAGACCAUGGCUGUGCUCCGGCCUGAUAUGACCGAGGACGAGCGCCUCGCCCUCAUCCAGAGAUACGAGGAGUUGCUUGUUGCAGGGGGUGGCAUGUACGUGGAGGUCUUUAACCGCGGAGUGAUCCCACUUGCAUACAGCAUAAAGAAAAGGAACAAGGCAGGAGAGAGCAACACAUACUUGGAUGGCAUAUACCUUCUCUUCACUUAUUUCACCAAACCAGAAUCCAUGGCUGCACUGGAGUCCCGGCUCAAUGCUGAUGAUGAUGUCAUCCGGUCAUCAACCUUCAAGAUACGCAAGCGGAAAUUGUAGAAUCUCUUUUCACAAGAGGGAAAAUGGAAAGAAAAAAAGGUUAAUAGGUUGCACCGAUGUAAUCCAUGCGGCUAGGUUGCAGCAGAUGCCUGGGCUUCAGGUAGUUCGAUGGAAAAUUAUGAGUGGCUACUUGAUCCACACUGCCGAAAAAGGUAAUUCCUUGACCUUAUCUUGUUCUCUUAUAGCUCAGGCAGAAACUUAUACUUCCUUUGCAGCAAAUCAUACUGGAUCCCAUUGCCGCCACUGCACUCUCUUCUCUCUCACAUCCCGUUCUUGAUUAUCUUUUAAUAAGACUUCAAAUUGGCGAUGUUAACCUGGAGUUGGAGCAUGAUAUUAGCGAUGCAAAUGGCCUGGCCCACAAUCUGCUAACUUUGCAGCUUGGGCCUGAUCCAUUUGCAUAUCAGAUAAUAAUUUAAAAUGCUCUUAUAAACAUCAGACAUCAUUAAAGCAACGUAAUAGGAAAUAUGGGUGUCAGUUAUGUUGAAGAUGACUGGUUGCAUUUUUAUGAAUGCCCAAAUAAUCUUUUUUCA